rnacentral:rRNA from 1 species
AAUGAACGCUGGCGGCGUGCUUUACACAUGCAAGUCGAGCGAGGCCGGGUAGCAAUACCCGAGUCGAGCGGCGCACGGGUGAGUAACGCGUGGAUCAUCUGCCUUUGGGUGGGGGAUAACCCGGGGAAACUCGGGCUAAUACCGCAUAAAACCGCGAGGUCAAAGGGGGCCGCAAGGCUCUCGCCGAAAGAGGAGUCCGCGUCCGAUUAGCUAGUUGGCAGGGUAAUGGCCUACCAAGGCGACGAUCGGUAGCCGGCCUGAGAGGGUGAUCGGCCACACUGGAACUGAGACACGGUCCAGACUCCUAC